rnacentral:rRNA from 1 species
AUGGACCGCCGGCCGCCGCUCGCCGUCUCGCCUCGUCGGCUCCGCCCGCGGCCGAGCUACGCCGCCGCCGCCCGCCUGCCCUUGGCGUCCUCCUUCCACAUCCCCUCGCCAGGAUUUAGCAAGAAAGCCCAGACUUCGAUGCGCUCGUCCAUCUGCGCUCUGCCGCCGCCGUCCUACCUCGAGACCAGCCCGCGCCCCAAGCCGGACUUCACUGUUGCGGCAAGAGCUGCGGGGAAGGAGAACCUCUGCUUCAACGACGACGACGAGGAGGCGGCGCCUUUCAACCUCGCCGACACGAGCACGGACGACUGGACAGCGGCGGUGGCGCCGACCAGCCCGCUGUUCGAGAGGGGCAGGCUCUACGACCUCUACUCCGCGCGGCGCAACGAGCGGCUCAAGCGCAAGCACGGCUGGUACGCCGCCGGCGAGGAGGAGGCGGGGGCCAUGGCCGAGGACCCUUGCGUGGCCGUGGAGCUGUCCAAGCGGCGGGGCGCCAAGAAGGCCGCGGCCCCCGAGUCCGCGGUGAGGAGGUCGAUGCCGGCAGCGACAGCAGAGUUCUCGCAGAGCCACAGGGCCGGCGGCGGCCUGAGCGCCAUGAGGUCCUCCCUGAGGAGCAGCAAGGAGAUGAAAAAGCCCUCCGCCGCGUCGUCCUGCGCCACUGCCGCCAAGCCCUCCGCGGCCAAGGGCAGGAGGGUCGGCGCGCAGUCGUCGGUUCGCAGGAUCUGA